AUUGAACGCUGGCGGAAUGCUUUACACAUGCAAGUCGAACGGCAGCACGGACUUCGGUCUGGUGGCGAGUGGCGAACGGGUGAGUAAUGUAUCGGAACGUGCCCAGUCGUGGGGGAUAACGUAGUGAAAAUUACGCUAAUACCGCAUACGAUCUAUGGAUGAAUGCGGGGGAUCGCAAGACCUUGCGCGAUUGGGGCGGCACAUAUCAGAUGAGGUAGUUGGUGGGGUAAAGGCCCACCAAGACAACGAUCUGUAGCUGGUCUGAGAGGACGACCAGCCACACUGGAACUGAGACACGGUCCAGACUCCUACGGGAGGCAGCAGUGGGGAAUUUUGGACAAUGGGCGAAAGCCUGAUCCAGCCAUUCCGCGUGCAGGAUGAAGGCCCUCGGGUUGUAAACUGCUUUUGUACAGAACGAAAAGGUUUCUACUAAUACUAGGAGCUCAUGACGGUACUGUAAGAAUGAGCACCGGCUAACUACGUGCCAGCCGCCGCCGUAA
rnacentral:rRNA from 1 species